rnacentral:rRNA from 1 species
UACCAGCACCCCGAGUGGUCGGGACGUUUAUUGGGCGUAAAGCGCACGUAGGCGGUCUGUUAUGUCGGAUGUGAAAGCCCUUGGCUCAACUGAGGAAGUGCAUCCGAAACUGGCAGGCUAGAGUACGUAAGAGGGUCGCGGAAUUCCCGGUGUAGAGGUGAAAUUCGUAGAUAUCGGGAGGAACACCGGUGGCGAAGGCGGCGACCUGGGUAGAUACUGACGCUGAGGUGCGAAAGCGUGGGGAGCAAACAGG